UUAGAUUCCGGAUCAACGUAGC
rnacentral:miRNA from 1 species